rnacentral:tRNA from 1 species
GCCUAGUUAGCUUGGAAGGUAGAGCGCCUGCUUUGUAAGCACUAGGCCGCAGGUUCGAUUCCCGCCCCGGGUG